GCCCAUAGCACCAUUUCGGAAAGCCCCAGAAACCAUAAUGGGCGGUGAAUAGGCGGCGCCAAUUUUCGGGCUCAAAUUCAGCCGUUUUGACCCUCAAACGGGCUGCGGAAAGUUUUGGCACGCAAAAAGAUCGAAAGCGGAUUCUCAGGGUGUUUUUGAUGCUUUCUGAACGCCAUUAACCUCGACGCACUUUUUCGCUCGAAACAAAAUGGCAAGAAAAUCAUGUGGGUCCCACGGCCUCACACUUGGAUGGCUGCGAAAAGGAUAUGUAGAAACGAGAGUGAUGUACUGACGGGUGCGAUCAUACCAGCACUAAUGCACCGGAUCCCAUCAGAACUCCGCAGUUAAGCUUGCUAGAGGAUGGGUGACCUCCCGGGAAGUCCUCGUGUUGCACCCCUUUUUAUUUUUUAUUUUUUUUAAUGCAUCCUAAGACGAGUCUAAACUUGGAAACCUCAUAACUUUUGAACCGUGAGGAACUACGUCGCCCAUAGCACCAUUUCGGAAAGCCCCAGAAACCAUAAUGGGCGGUGAAUAGGCGGCGCCAAUUUUUCGGGCUCAAAUUCAGCCGUUUUGACCCUCAAACGGGCUGCGGAAAGUUUUGGCACGCAAAAAAGAUCGAAAGCGGAUUCUCAGGGUGUUUUUGAUGCUUUCUGAACGCCAUUAACCUCGACGCACUUUUUCGCUCGAAACAAAUGGCAAGAAAAUCAUGUGGGUCCCACGGCCUCACUGGAUUGGCUGCGAAAAGGAUAUGUAGAAACGAGAGUGAUGUACUGACGGGUGCGAUCAUACCAGCACUAAUGCACCGGAUCCCAUCAGAACUCCGCAGUUAAGCGUGCUUGGGCGAGAGUAGUACUAGGAUGGGUGACCUCCCGGGAAGUCCUCGUGUUGCACCCCUUUUUAUUUUUUAAUUUUUUUUAAUGCAUCCUAAGACGAGUCUAAACUUGGAAACCUCAUAACUUUUGAACCGUGAGGAACUACGUCGCCCAUAGCACCAUUUCGGAAAGCCCCAGAAACCAUAAUGGGCGGUGAAUAGCGGCGCCAAUUUUUCGGGCUCAAAUUCAGCCGUUUUGACCCUCAAACGGGCUGCGGAAAGUUUUGGCACGCAAAAAAGAUCGAAAGCGGAUUCUCAGGGUGUUUUUGAUGCUUUCUGAACGCCAUUAACCUCGACGCACUUUUUCGCUCGAAACAAAUGGCAAGAAAAUCAUGUGGGUCCCACGGCCUCACACUGGAUUGGCUGCGAAAAGGAUAUGUAGAAACGAGAGUGAUGUACUGACGGGUGCGAUCAUACCAGCACUAAUGCACCGGAUCCCAUCAGAACUCCGCAGUUAAGCGUGCUAGGAUGGGUGACCUCCCGGGAAGUCCUCGUGUUGCCCACCCUUUUUAUUUUUUAAUUUUUUUUAAUGCAUCCUAAGACGAGUCUAAACUUGGAAACCUCAUAACUUUUGAACCGUGAGGAACUACGUCGCCCAUAGCACCAUUUCGGAAAGCCCCAGAAACCAUAAUGGGCGGUGAAUAGGCGGCGCCAAUUUUUCGGGCUCAAAUUCAGCCGUUUUGACCCUCAAACGGGCUGCGGAAAGUUUUGGCACGCAAAAAAGAUCGAAAGCGGAUUCUCAGGGUGUUUUUGAUGCUUUCUGAACGCCAUUAACCUCGACGCACUUUUUCGCUCGAAACAAAAUGGCAAGAAAAUCAUGUGGGUCCCACGGCCUCACAGGCUGCGAAAAGGAUAUGUAGAAACGAGAGUGAUGUACUGACGGGUGCGAUCAUACCAGCACUAAUGCACCGGAUCCCAUCAGAACUCCGCAGUUAAGCGUGCUUGGGCGCGAGAGUAGUACUAGGAUGGGUGACCUCCCGGGAAGUCCUCGUGUUGCACCCCUUUUUAUUUUUUAAUUUUUUUAAUGCAUCCUAAGACGAGUCUAAACUUGGAAACCUCAUAACUUUUGAACCGUGAGGAACUACGUCGCCCAUAGCACCAUUUCGGAAAGCCCCAGAAACCAUAAUGGGCUGGUGAAUAGGCGGCGCCAAUUUUUCGGGCUCAAAUUCAGCCGUUUUGACCCUCAAACGGGCUGCGGAAAGUUUUGGCACGCAAAAAAGAUCGAAAGCGGAUUCUCAGGGUGUUUUUGAUGCUUUCUGAACGCCAUUAACCUCGACGCACUUUUUCGCUCGAAACAAUUGGCAAGAAAAUCAUGUGGGUCCCACGGCCUCACACUUGGAUGGCUGCGAAAAGGAUAUGUAGAAACGAGAGUGAUGUACUGACGGGUGCGAUCAUACCAGCACUAAUGCACCGGAUCCCAUCAGAACUCCGCAGUUAAGCUUAGAGAGUACUAGGAUGGGUGACCUCCCGGGAAGUCCUCGUGUUGCACCCCUUUUUAUUUUUUAAUUUUUUUUAAUGCAUCCUAAGACGAGUCUAAACUUGGAAACCUCAUAACUUUUGAACCGUGAGGAACUACGUCGCCCAUAGCACCAUUUCGGAAAGCCCCAGAAACCAUAAUGGGCGGUGAAUAGGCGGCGCCAAUUUUUCGGGCUCAAAUUCAGCCGUUUUGACCCUCAAACGGGCUGCGGAAAGUUUUGGCACGCAAAAAAGAUCGAAAGCGGAUUCUCAGGGUGUUUUUGAUGCUUUCUGAACGCCAUUAACCUCGACGCACUUUUUCGCUCGAAACAAAAUGGCAAGAAAAUCAUGUGGGUCCCACGGCCUCACUUGGAUUGCUGCGAAAAGGAUAUGUAGAAACGAGAGUGAUGUACUGACGGGUGCGAUCAUACCAGCACUAAUGCACCGGAUCCCAUCAGAACUCCGCAGUUAAGCGUGUAGGAUGGGUGACCUCCCGGGAAGUCCUCGUGUUGCACCCCUUUUUAUUUUUUAAUUUUUUUUAAUGCAUCCUAAGACGAGUCUAAACUUGGAAACCUCAUAACUUUUGAACCGUGAGGAACUACGUCGCCCAUAGCACCAUUUCGGAAAGCCCCAGAAACCAUAAUGGGCGGUGAAUAGGCGGCGCCAAUUUUUCGGGCUCAAAUUCAGCCGUUUUGACCCUCAAACGGGCUGCGGAAAGUUUUGGCACGCAAAAAAGAUCGAAAGCGGAUUCUCAGGGUGUUUUUGAUGCUUUCUGAACGCCAUUAACCUCGACGCACUUUUUCGCUCGAAACAAAAUGGCAAGAAAAUCAUGUGGGUCCCACGGCCUCACAGGCGGCUGCGAAAAGGAUAUGUAGAAACGAGAGUGAUGUACUGACGGGUGCGAUCAUACCAGCACUAAUGCACCGGAUCCCAUCAGAACUCCGCAGUUAAGCGUGCUUGGGCGAGAGUAGUACUAGGAUGGGUGACCUCCCGGGAAGUCCUCGUGUUGCACCCCUUUUUAUUUUUUAAUUUUUUUAAUGCAUCCUAAGACGAGUCUAAACUUGGAAACCUCAUAACUUUUGAACCGUGAGGAACUACGUCGCCCAUAGCACCAUUUCGGAAAGCCCCAGAAACCAUAAUGGGCGGUGAAUAGGCGGCGCCAAUUUUUCGGGCUCAAAUUCAGCCGUUUUGACCCUCAAACGGGCUGCGGAAAGUUUUGGCACGCAAAAAAGAUCGAAAGCGGAUUCUCAGGGUGUUUUUGAUGCUUUCUGAACGCCAUUAACCUCGACGCACUUUUUCGCUCGAAACAAAUGGCAAGAAAAUCAUGUGGGUCCCACGGCCUCACACAGGCUGCGAAAAGGAUAUGUAGAAACGAGAGUGAUGUACUGACGGGUGCGAUCAUACCAGCACUAAUGCACCGGAUCCCAUCAGAACUCCGCAGUUAAGCGUAGUAGGAUGGGUGACCUCCCGGGAAGUCCUCGUGUUGCACCCCUUUUAUUUUUUAAUUUUUUUAAUGCAUCCUAAGACGAGUCUAAACUUGGAAACCUCAUAACUUUUGAACCGUGAGGAACUACGUCGCCCAUAGCACCAUUUCGGAAAGCCCCAGAAACCAUAAUGGGCGGUGAAUAGGCGGCGCCAAUUUUUCGGGCUCAAAUUCAGCCGUUUUGACCCUCAAACGGGCUGCGGAAAGUUUUGGCACGCAAAAAAGAUCGAAAGCGGAUUCUCAGGGUGUUUUUGAUGCUUUCUGAACGCCAUUAACCUCGACGCACUUUUUCGCUCGAAACAAAAUGGCAAGAAAAUCAUGUGGGUCCCACGGCCUCACACUUGGAUUGGCUGCGAAAAGGAUAUGUAGAAACGAGAGUGAUGUACUGACGGGUGCGAUCAUACCAGCACUAAUGCACCGGAUCCCAUCAGAACUCCGCAGUUAAGCGUGCUUGGGCGAGAGUAGUACUAGGAUGGGUGACCUCCCGGGAAGUCCUCGUGUUGCACCCCUUUUUAUUUUUUAAUUUUUUUUAAUGCAUCCUAAGACGAGUCUAAACUUGGAAACCUCAUAACUUUUGAACCGUGAGGAACUACGUCGCCCAUAGCACCAUUUCGGAAAGCCCCAGAAACCAUAAUGGGCGGUGAAUAGGCGGCGCCAAUUUUUCGGGCUCAAAUUCAGCCGUUUUGACCCUCAAACGGGCUGCGGAAAGUUUUGGCACGCAAAAAAGAUCGAAAGCGGAUUCUCAGGGUGUUUUUGAUGCUUUCUGAACGCCAUUAACCUCGACGCACUUUUUCGCUCGAAACAAAAUGGCAAGAAAAUCAUGUGGGUCCCACGGCCUCACACUUGGAUUGGCUGCAAAAAGGAUAUGUAGAAACGAGAGUGAUAUACUGACGGGUGCGAUCAUACCAGCACUAAUGCACCGGAUCCCAUCAGAACUCCGCAGUUAAGCGUGCUUGGGCGAGAGUAGUACUAGGAUGGGUGACCUCCCGGGAAGUCCUCGUGUUGCACCCCUUUUUAUUUUUUAAUUUUUUUUAAUGCAUCCUAAGACGAGUCUAAACUUGGAAACCUCAUAACUUUUGAACCGUGAGGAACUACGUCGCCCAUAGCACCAUUUCGGAAAGCCCCAGAAACCAUAAUGGGCGGUGAAUAGGCGGCGCCAAUUUUUCGGGCUCAAAUUCAGCCGUUUUGACCCUCAAACGGGCUGCGGAAAGUUUUGGCACGCAAAAAAGAUCGAAAGCGGAUUCUCAGGGUGUUUUUGAUGCUUUCUGAACGCCAUUAACCUCGACGCACUUUUUCGCUCGAAACAAAAUGGCAAGAAAAUCAUGUGGGUCCCACGGCCUCACACUUGGAUUGGCUGCGAAAAGGAUAUGUAGAAACGAGAGUGAUGUACUGACGGGUGCGAUCAUACCAGCACUAAUGCACCGGAUCCCAUCAGAACUCCGCAGUUAAGCGUGCUUGGGCGAGAGUAGUACUAGGAUGGGUGACCUCCCGGGAAGUCCUCGUGUUGCACCCCUUUUUAUUUUUUAAUUUUUUUUAAUGCAUCCUAAGACGAGUCUAAACUUGGAAACCUCAUAACUUUUGAACCGUGAGGAACUACGUCGCCCAUAGCACCAUUUCGGAAAGCCCCAGAAACCAUAAUGGGCGGUGAAUAGGCGGCGCCAAUUUUUCGGGCUCAAAUUCAGCCGUUUUGACCCUCAAACGGGCUGCGGAAAGUUUUGGCACGCAAAAAAGAUCGAAAGCGGAUUCUCAGGGUGUUUUUGAUGCUUUCUGAACGCCAUUAACCUCGACGCACUUUUUCGCUCGAAACAAAAUGGCAAGAAAAUCAUGUGGGUCCCACGGCCUCACACUUGGAUUGGCUGCGAAAAGGAUAUGUAGAAGCGAGAGUGAUGUACUGACGGGUGCGAUCAUACCAGCACUAAUGCACCGGAUCCCAUCAGAACUCCGCAGUUAAGCGUGCUAGAGUAGUGGGUGAC
rnacentral:lncRNA from 1 species